rnacentral:rRNA from 1 species
UGGGGAAUAUUGCACAAUGGGCGCAAGCCUGAUGCAGCCAUGCCGCGUGUGUGAAGAAGGCCUUCGGGUUGUAAAGCACUUUCAGCGAGGAGGAAGGUGGUGAGCUUAAUACGCUCAUCAAUUGACGUUACUCGCAGAAGAAGCACCGGCUAACUCCGUGCCAGCAGCCGCGGUAAUACGGAGGGUGCAAGCGUUAAUCGGAAUUACUGGGCGUAAAGCGCACGCAGGCGGUUUGUUAAGUCAGAUGUGAAAUCCCCGGGCUCAACCUGGGAACUGCAUUUGAAACUGGCAAGCUAGAGUCUCGUAGAGGGGGGUAGAAUUCCAGGUGUAGCGGUGAAAUGCGUAGAGAUCUGGAGGAAUACCGGUGGCGAAGGCGGCCCCCUGGACGAAGACUGACGCUCAGGUGCGAAAGCGUGGGGCAGCAAACAGGAUUAGAUACCCUGGUAGUCCACGCUGUAAACGAUGUCGAUUUUGGAGGUUGUGCCCUUGAGGCGUGGCUUCCGGAGCUAACGCGUUAAAUCGACCGCCUGGGGAGUACGGCCGCAAGGUUAAAACUUAAAGG